rnacentral:lncRNA from 1 species
CUAGGGCCGCGCCUGGCUGAUAAUCCCUUUUCUGUAUCAUUUAAAGUCGUUCUGCUUCCCAGAUCAAACUGUGAUACAAUUCCCAUUAAGAAAAAAUAGGUAAAAACAAUGAUUACAGAAAAUGUAUAACAUUAAAUUUAUGUAAAAUUAUGUGUGAAUAUAAGUAUAUAAAGCAAUUAAGGAAGGUUUUCCAGAGGAAGUAGUGGCUGCUCUUCCCAGAAGAAGGAUGCUCCUUCGUCAGAGAUCGGUAUUUGCAUGGACAUUGAAGAAACUUAAGGAAGGUCAUGUGUCUGAAUGGGUUGGGGGAGAAAAGAGAAGAAAAGACGACAGAAUACACGGAGAGGGAGGGUAAGGGCAAGGAAAAGGAACAGAGUGAAGACAAGAACAAAGAAUGGGGGAUGGGGGGAAGAAAAUUAAAUAAAAGGCAGAUUUGACGCCAGGAUGAGAAGUAGGUAGGGAUCAGACUACACAGCUUAGGACAUGUUUUAAAACUGGGUCUUUAUUCUAAGAACCAGAGGAGAAGUUCACCAUAUGGUUUUAGCACAAUCAUAUAUGUAUGUUUGCAAAGGUCACUCCAAGGACUUCCAAUUAAAAUGAAGAUUAAACACCCAUUUAUCUCUGCUCCCUUUCAACAGCCCAUCAAAUUGACAGUAAAUACCUAAAAAAGGGUAUAAACACAAGGACAAAGGGAUCAGAAAAAGCAACAAUAGUGAACAAGAGAUAAUCAUGAACAUCUGGAAUGCAGAGGCAGAUAGGUAAGUGGGAUGACUUAGUAGACCUGACAAAACUGAACCCUAAUUCUACAAGGGAUGUGGGAAGAGGGUGCCCACAGGAAUCAAGCAACCCACACUGGCGUAGCUCAGAAACUGAAGCCACAAAGGACUACUAAAAGUGCAAGUUUGGACUGAGGCUGAAAACAGGAGAACUGAGAAAAGGUUCUAUAAACAGCAAACAGAUAACCCAUCUCUCAACCCCACUGCCACCUGUCUGGCAAAAAUCUGGAGGUUUUACUUUCUAAAAAGGGUGAAAGAGAG